rnacentral:rRNA from 1 species
UACAGAGGGUGCGAGCGUUAAUCGGAAUUACUGGGCGUAAAGCGCGCGUAGGCGGCUUUGCAAGUCGGGUGUGAAAUCCCCAGGCUUAACCUGGGAACUGCAUUCGAGACUGCAUUGCUAGAGUAUGGGAGAGGGAAGUGGAAUUUCCGGUGUAGCGGUGAAAUGCGUAGAUAUUCGGAAGAACACCAGUGGCGAAGGCGACUUACUGGACACAUAUUGACGCUGAGGUGCGAAAGCGUGGGGAGCAAACAGG